GAUGAACGCUAGCUACAGGCUUAACACAUGCGAGUCGAGGGGAAACGACAUCGAAAGCUUGCUUUUGAUGGGCGUCGACCGGCGCACGGGUGAGUAACGCGUAUCCAACCUGCCCACCACUUGGGGAUAACCUUGCGAAAGUAAGACUAAUACCCAAUGACGUCUCUAGAAGACAUCUGAAAGAGAUUAAAGAUUUAUCGGUGAUGGAUGGGGAUGCGUCUGAUUAGCUUGUUGGCGGGGUAACGGCCCACCAAGGCGACGAUCAGUAGGGGUUCUGAGAGGAAGGUCCCCCACAUUGGAACUGAGACACGGUCCAAACUCCUACGGGAGGCAGCAGUGAGGAAUAUUGGUCAAUGGACGAGAGUCUGAACCAGCCAAGUAGCGUGCAGGAUGACGGCCCUAUGGGUUGUAAACUGCUUUUAUAAGGGAAUAAAGUGAGUCUCGUGAGACUUUUUGCAUGUACCUUAUGAAUAAGGACCGGCUAAUUCCGUG
rnacentral:rRNA from 1 species